rnacentral:lncRNA from 1 species
CCAACUAAAAACUGGACGAGAUGUGGCCAUUGCAGCCCUUCUUGGCGCAGAAGAGUUUGGUUUCAGCACUGCACCCCUUAUAACACUUGGUUGCAUCAUGAUGCGAAAGUGCCAUAAGAACACCUGCCCCGUAGGCAUUGCUACUCAAGAUCCAGUGCUGAGGGAAAAGUUUGCUGGAGAACCUGAACAUGUUAUCAACUUCUUUUUUAUGCUAGCAGAGGAGCUCAGGGAGAUUAUGGCACAGCUUGGUUUCCGUACGAUGACUGAGAUGGUUGGUCGUUCAGACAUGCUUGAAGUUGAUAA